AGAGACCGGCGCACGGGUGCGUAACGCGUAUGCAAUCUACCUUAUGCAGAGGGAUAGCCCGAAGAAAUUUGGAUUAAUACCUCAUAGUAUGUAUAAUAGGCCUCUAUUUUAUAUUUCAGAUUUUGCGGCAUAAGAUGAGCCUGCGUCCCAUUAGCUAGUUGGUAUGGUAACGGCUUACCAAGGCAACGAUGGGUAGGGGUCCUGAGAGGGAGAUCCCCCACACUGGUACUGAGACACGGACCAGACUCCUACGGGAGGCAGCAGUGAGGAAUAUUGGACAAUGGUCGCAAGACUGAUCCAGCCAUGCCGCGUGCAGGAAGACUGCCCUAUGGGUUGUAAACUGCUUUUGUAUGAGAAGAAUAAUAGGUACUUGUACCUUGAUGACGGUAUCAUACCAAUAAACAUCGGCUAACUCCGUGCCAUGACCCGCGGUAAUACGGAGGAUGCGAGCGUUAUCCGGAAUCAUUGGGUUUAAAGGGUCCGUAGGCGGGCUAUUAAGUCAGGGGUGAAAGUUUGCCGCUCAACUCAAAAAUUGCCUUUGAUACUGAUAUGCUUGAAUAUGUGUGAAGUGAUUAGAAUAUGUAUUGCAGCGGUGAAAUG
rnacentral:rRNA from 1 species